UAUUACCAGCGAUAAGACCUUUGCGGGUUGUCCAUGGUGUUCCCUUCCGUAGGUUGGCAAAGCCAUGGCGCACCAGGCCCGCAGGGCGCGCUCUUCUA
rnacentral:sRNA from 1 species